AUCGCCUUGGCCUGUCCUUGCUGAGCAGCCUCUCCUGCCGAUCGGGAGUGUCAAGCUCCUAUAGGCAGCGUCUCCAUCCCCAUUGGCUGAGAGAGCCUGCGGUCUCCAGAGGACUCCUUCUCUCUGGGGCCAAGGGGUGUGACUGUAGCCACAGGUGGACGUUGUCCUGCUGAUGACAAGGAGAAACGACCUUCACUUGGAGCCAUUUUUCAGGUGGUAUCUGUCCAGGGUCAUGUUCCUGGCGAUGGCUGCCAUUUGGUUCAGCGUCCCUCUAGCUGAGUGGAGAUGAGCCCGAGCAGCACAUUGGGAGGAUGAGUGAAAUCUUGAAUGGUUUGGAGGGAUUCUAGUGGGGCUGGACCAGGGAGUGUCCCAGGAACCCACUGACUCUAUGUUGAUGGCUCCUAGGACUUAAGACUAUGGGAGUUCCAUCAGACUAAGUUAGUCUAAACAGGGAGUGUCCACAGGGGCCCAGAGGGGUGGACCUCUUGGGAUGAUGUGCAGGUUGAAGUGCAGAGUGGCCACAGAGUUCACCAGUUACUCAAAGGAAUCACAGUCCCUCAAAAAGAAUGAAGAACUCUAGAGUAAAUCAACUCCCUCAUUUUAAGAUGGAGAGAGGAAGGUUCAGAGAGGGAAGACCACCUGCCAGGACCACACAGCCAACUCAUCUAGUCAGCUCCACCAUCCUGAUUCCCAGCAGAGCACCCUUUGGAGGGCAUCCUGCUGCAGCUCUCAGGCUACCAGGCCACUCUGUCCUGAGCGGAGUAAGCAGCAUUGUCCAGCACAUUGUGCAACACUAGACCUGGGGGUCCACUUGUCUGGCCUUCCCUUUCCUCACUUAUUCCACAGGGACCAUGCAAGAGAGGCCGUGGAUCCUCAUCAGCUGGGGGCGACUGUGAUUCUGGGAAGAGGGGCAGCUGCGAACAGGAGAGCGCUGAGAAGGAACCAGCUGUGGACACGUCCCAGGCUGCGAAGUGGCUCCUUGGCAAAGCGGCAAGUGGCUCAAGCCGAAUGUGUCCACUGAUGUCCCUCCCUGCAUCUGCCCACCAGCCCCUGCCUGCCCACCUGCUGCCACACUCCCAAUCGCCUGGCCGCUGGCAGUGGCUUCCCACCACACAGGCCCCUGGAGCUGCCUCCUGAACCCUCGCCCUCUUCUUCCUGGAUCUGGGGAUGACAGGCGUCACUGCUGGACGACUGCUAGGCCCCCACAGUGGGCUUUUCAACAUUUUCUUUGGAAAACACAUCAAACACACACAAGAAAAACUGCAAGAACAAAAGUAGUGAUAGAAGACCCCGAUCCACCUUUUCACCUGUCCAUCGAUGUUAUCAUUUGUCCCGUCUUUAUUGUCCUUAUCUGUGAGUAGCAUGUUUUCCGGAGCCACUGAAGAGCAGGCUGACCGCCAGGGGCCUCUGCUCGCAGAUCUUCAGACGCCUCAGCUGCCCUGGCCCAAGCGCUCCUCGUCAGGAGUCCCCGGGCGGUUCCAGAGGUGAACCCGUUCCCAAGGCUCAGCACAUCAUCUCUGUCCUCCUGUGACAAGAAGGGGACCCUCCACUGUCCUUCCCACAACCUGACCAGCUUCACAGAUUUUUAGAACUAAAAAGACUUUAGUGAUCACUGGGUCCAACUUGCCCACUUUACAGGUGUAGACAGGCCCAGAGAGGGGAGGUAAUUGGGCAAGCCACACAGCCAGUGCUGGCAAAGCCCGGACUCAGUCAGGCUCUGGAUUCGCUGUCCCGGGCUCCCAGUCUGGGCCACCUGAUCCGGCCCAGCGCCUGUCUCUGUGCAGCAUCUGACGUCCAUCCAAGGGGCACCUCCAGGAAUGUGACGUUGUUAAAAAUAAAACACGAGGAGCCCAGCCCUUGUGUGCCUCCCAAGGACUCCAGAGAAAGGUGGCGGCGCCCGUCAGCUGCCGACUUCCGUCACUCACCUUUGCCACAAGGAGAACAAAGCCGCGGGGACGCUGGGCUCCAUGUGAUGUGGCUCGAGAGAAUCUGGGUGUCCUGAGCUAAAAUUAGCCAAUCUUGCUCUUCUGAAGACUUUCCUGGUACCCAGCAGUGGCCAACCUGCCUGGGGUCCCUUUGGGGAAGCUCAGCACUUUCACCUGGCACCUUCCUGGCUCAGCCUCCAGGGACCCCCACCCCCAUGUGCCCCCAGAGAAGCAUUAAAGAAUAGUAAGAAGUGA